CAAGUGCCAUCACUAUGCCUGCGCCUGUGAUGCAGCCUGAGCCAAUUAAAACAGUGUGGAGCAUUCAUUAUUAAGACAAUUGGGCAGCUCUAUUCCAGCUCAACUGAUUUCUUGUCCAAUGAUCCUUGCGUGGCCGAGAUCCAGCUUCAACGAACCAGCUAGAAGCUGCCCGUUGUGAAACUUAGUGUUAGUUAAUACCUCACCAUACUCAGUUAUUCCACUAUAAGCUGUCUAAAUUUGAUGAAAUUUGCUUUUUCAGCUGUUCUACAAAAUUAUUUAGGUAGAUGUGGCAUGUUGGUUUUUUAUGUGCUAACCUAACUGUAAUGACCUUUUCUACAACAUGUUUUAUCCAUUCCAUAAAUAAUAACCACAUUGGGAAUAGUGAGGUGUCUUUUAUUUUCUCUGCUUUGUGUUAUUUUUUCUUAUCAAACAAUUAGAUGUUAUGUUUCAUAUUAUUUGAUAUUUAUUUUCAUAUUUAGGAUAAGAAUCAUUUUUAAUUAUAAUACUUUUAAUACUUUCAUAUAUUUUACAACAGUAUACUAUUUAAUAUUAAUGACAAUUCUAUUUUUGCUUUGCUGUUUUGUCAUUUAAUAUGCUUUUGUCUAAUUUUUAAUUCAUUUAUUACUGUUACUCCUUAUUUAAUUUUGCGUCUGCCAUGGUUUUCAGAAUCUGAAUAGUAUUUAUACUUCUUUUUUAUAACAUUUUCCAAAUAUUAGAAAUACCAUCAACAUGAUCAGUAUUCUUGCCUUUUCAUGUAAUUUGACUAUAUUAAAUUUUUUCUCCAGUGUUUGAGACAAUAUUGAAAUCUUCCUAUAACAUAAUUUAUUUGGUAUCAAAUUUUAUAAAAUAUGGAUCCACCUUUGGAAUUUUGAUAAAAGGGUUCAUCUCUGACAUGAUCCCAUAACACUGACUGAAAUUCCACCAAAUUACUGUUCUUUGAAUGCUUUAAUCCUUAAACCUUUUCUUCUGAUAUGCAACCAAUAUAUUCAAUUAUAUAUGUGAUUAAUUUUUAAAAGGACAAUUGUUUUCAUAAAAUGCAAAACUAUUUUUUACACCAAAGGAAAAUUUUAGAUUCUGAUUCUAAAUCCGAUUUUUACUAUAAAAUUGGAAAAUAGAUGGGAGGGGUGUCAUUCAUUGUUCAAAAGGUACAGAACAAAUCAUAGGGGUUUUUAAUCUCUAAAAUUUCUACAGUAGUACAGGAAAUAUUCCUCUUUACAUUCAUUUGCAGUUCUUUCACUGACCUCCUAAUUUUAGGUGGAGGGGGCAGGGGGAGCCAUAAAAGUUGGUAUUACCCUAAUAAAUC
rnacentral:lncRNA from 1 species